AACGAACGUUUGCGGCGCGCCUAACACAUGCAAGUCGAGCGGGAAUGGGAGCCGCAAGGUUCCCUAGUACAGCGGCGCACGGGUGAGUAACACGUAGGUAAUCUACCUCCUGGUGGGGGACAACCUUCCGAAAGGAGGGCUAAUACCGCAUUCGUCCGUGGCUGCUUCGGCGGCCGCGGGGAAAGGUGGCCUCUACACGUAAGCUAUCGCCGGGAGAUGAGCCUGCGUCCCAUCAGCUAGNGGUAGGGUAACGGCCUACCAAGGCUACGACGGGUAGCUGGUCUGAGAGGACGAUCAGCCACACUGGAACUGAGACACGGUCCAGACUCCUACGGGAGGCAGCAGUGGGGAAUAUUGCGCAAUGGGCGAAAGCCUGACGCAGCGACGCCGCGUGAGUGAUGAAGGCC
rnacentral:rRNA from 1 species